AAGAAAGUGACUGCCGCCCCGCACAGGGGCAACGCCAAUAGACCGACGCGAAAUCGGGAUCCGGCGAAAAAAACCAGACCCCGCAAUUCAAAGUCAGCGACACAAAACCCGCGCAUGAUGCGCGAUAUGCUC
rnacentral:sRNA from 1 species